rnacentral:lncRNA from 1 species
CCAACUUUUCGAACUUAUGUGAGAUUGUCUAAGUCAUGAAGCACCCAGGUCCCAUAGAACCUAUAAAAGGAGCAAGUUGAUUAGCUCGAAAGCGAGCGAUGGACAAGUCCUGACAUCUCGCGAAAAGGACAGCUUUACAAGCAAUUCAGCAAACACUUGACGUACAAGAGAGAAAAGAGAGGAAGAAGAAAACAAGGACUUUAGAACGUAAAAUGAACAGUAGCAAGUUCACAAACGACUGCUCAUCGGGUAUCAGGCAUGAUGGUAAGAUCCUGUCAACUAAAUAUGCGAACUUGUGAAAACCGAUCAACAUCCAACACUACCCUAAAGCCCCAUCCACCCCUGUGCCACCUAAGGGUAUCUGGGGGUCUGAGAUGGUUGACGUUUCACACCACACCACGAUUUGUAGAAAACAAGUCGCAACAUGCGAAAACACAGCCAUUUUGGGGUAGUUUUGCCUGGCAUGAUGAGCGGUCGCACUGUAACGUUAUGAACUAUUCUUGCUUAUUUUUUCCAAGCAAAAACACACAAAACCAACGCAAAACUUGCUGCUAAGCAUCUAUAUAAGCACGUAAAAGCGACAAACGACUCGUUCAACGAAGAUGUUACGGGUGCGCAACAAACGUUCGUGAUAUUCUCCCCCACUUAAACUAUCAACACCCUCGUCGACACUUACUGGUAGGCUUUAAUGAUUGCUUCUUCGUGUCUUAGGGCAUCUUUAGGCUCUCAACUAGUUUCUGUUCGAGGAAGCUUUGGCCACUUCACCAAGUAUUCGGUUGCUUCGCUCUAUUAGGUAGCUUUGUCUUGCGAUUCGCUAAAAUGGUUUCAACUCGCUUCUCCUAGGAGGCUCUGCUAGUUGGAAUACUUCGGGAAGCAUCUUGCGGAUCUGAGUAGUAGGCUUUCAAGUUACUUACGAGGAAGACAUUGUGAAUUUUAAGCCACGUUGACAGCUACAACUUGUAGGAGACAUUGCCUACCCUGCUGAUAAUUAGGAAGAGUCUUUCAUACUUGCACACUAAUCUCUUGUGUACUUUAUGCCGAAAGAAUUAAAGCGAUGUUAGUUGGAGCUUCACCAACACUAAGUCACCAACUUUAAACUCCUAUGACAUUCUCAAGUCUGCCCACUUCAUCUAUCUUUUUGGCCACCUUCUCCAAGUAAGCCCGUGCAAUAUCUGCAUUUCGGUGUCAUUCCUUUGCAAAGUGAUAUGCUGACGAGCUACUUCCAGUAGAAUCAAUCACCAAGGUGUGAGGAGUUGACGACAGUUGUCCCGUAAUGAUCUCGAAGGGGCUUUUGUUAGAUGCAGAGCUCCGCUGCAAGUUGUAAGAGAAUUGGACUAUGUCCAACUGCUUUACCCGAUCUCUUUGGUUAGAACUCACGUAGUGCUGAAGAUAUUGCUCAAGGAGCAAAUUUAAUUUUUCAAUUUGACCAUCCGUUUGGGGGUGGAGGCUUGUGGAGAAGUAUAACUUGGACCAUAGCAAUUUGAAUAGCUCGAUCCAAAAUUAUCCAAAGAAUCAUGCAUCUCGAACACUGAUGAUAUUAUGCGAAACUCCCUAAUACUUCACCAUAUUCUUCAUCAUCAACUUGGCCGCCUCCUCUGCUGAACAGUGUAGGGGUGCAACAAUGAAUGUUGCAUACUUUAAAAACUGAUCGACCACUACGAGUAUCGAUCUGAGUCCCUCUACUACCGACAAACUUAAUAUGAAGUCCAAGGAAAUGCUCCCCCAUGGACUUUUUGGUACAGGCAACGGCUCCAAAAAUCUCACCGGCUUUCGCUACUCUAUCUUAUCUUAUUGGUAAGUAAGGCAUGUUCGAACAUAUUCCUUUACAUCAGUCCCCAUCUUUGGCCAAUAAAAAACCCUCUCCACAAGAGCCAACGUUCGAUGAAUGCUCGAAUGUUAAGCCCAAAGAGAAUUAUGACACACUAUCAAGAGUUCACGCCUCAAAUUAUCCGCUCGAGGAACAUAAACUCUAUUCCCUUUGGUGUAGAUGAAACCCUCCUAGACCCAAAAUCAUCGUGUCUUUCCCUCUUUGAUUAUUUGCAUUAAGGUUAUUGCUUGAGGAUCACUGCAUAGUCCGUCCCUGAUUGCUAUUGAAAUUUUGGUAUAUUCAGAACCGGGCCUCGUAGCUCGGAAGUUUGUUUUAUGUCAAACAGGAAAUUUUCGAGCUCUUUAGCAUCCCUAGCACCCUCUAAGUAAUGCGGCUCGGGUACCCUCAAGUUUUGUGGUGGAGUAACACGGGUGUUGUUCCCUCUCACAUUAAGAGCCCUUGUGAGCAAUAUCACCCUGGACGUGAGUUCCACCACGACUUCAUGCAGAGGUUACACAGAGUCUUUGGUGUCUUCCGUUAGUCGAUCGACUAGGGACUCAACCUAGUCGAUCCGAAAUUCAGCUUCUUUUUAUGAGCUCUCUACCCCAAGAAGCCUUCGUUGGCCUUAGUAGAGUUCCUCCAAGUUCGCUUCAAGAACAUCAAGGUGAGCUUCCAUAGCUGUAAGUCUCUCCUUAUGGCUUCUUUUCCCGGUUGGCGCUCCAAAUUGUGCCUCCUCUGCUCGUGGAGAAUAGCCAACUUCUUGCUCGUCUUAUUCGCUAUCGCACUUCUCCUGAGCGGCUCCAAUAGCAUAAGAGCGAGUUUGCACUUGUAUCCCACCUAAGCUGCUUGGGGCAAUGGCCCGGUUCGCCCCAUCUUGCUUGAUUCACCAUGAUGUUUCACUAUGGUGAGAUUAUGAAACUUUUUUGCUGUAUGCUCGAGUUGCUUAUCCACUCUGAUACCACAAUGUCACAGACUUAACUGAAAUUGCCUAAGUUGUGAUGCACUCUUGCGGCAAAGUCAUGGACUUAGUUGGAGUUGCGUAAGUCGUAAAGCACCUUUGCGUCAACUUCUCAGACUUAGCUGGGAUUGCCUAAGUCAUGAAAUGUCCUUGCGUUAUUCGCCCGCAAAGGGUUAGCCUAGUUGCAACCUUGCUCAGGUCCCGUAGGACCUAUAAAAAGAGCAAGUUGAUUAGUUCGACAGCAAGCGACGGACAAGUCCCAACACCUCACGAAGAGGCAGCUCUAUAAGCAAUUCAACAAACACUUGGUGUGCAAGAGAAAAAAGAGAGGAAAGAGAAAAUACGGACUUUAAAAUACAAAAUGAACAAUCCAAAGUCCACAAACGACUACUCAUAGGGUGUCAGGCACGUUGACAAGUUCCCAUCAACUUAACAUGCGAACUUGUGAAAACCGAUCAAUGCCCGACAUUACCCCGAAGCCCCAUCCACCCCUGUGCCACUCGGGGGAUUCUAGGGGUCUGAGAUGGUUGACGUUUUGCGCCACACCAUGGUCUGCAGAAAACUGGCCACAACACGUGAAAAUGGAGCCAUUUUGGGGUAGUUUUGUCUAGCAUGGUGAGUGGUCACACUGCAACGCUGCGAACUGUUCUUGCUUACAUUUUCAAAGCAAACACACACAAAACCAAGAUAAAACAUAUUGCUAAGCAUCUGUACAAGCACGCAAAAGCAACGAACGACUCGUUGAACGAAGAUGUUGUGGGUGCAGGACGACCAUUCGUGACAACGUGUUGAACACAGAUUCAUCACCAACACAGUCAUACAUGUGUCAAACACGUAUACAGCCAUGUCUUUUUUAAAAAAAAAAUUAAUUUGAUUGGAUACAAUGUUCGAGUGUAGGUUUUCUUACCUUAUAUGAAUAGAUCAUUAGCAUUAAAUACUACCUUCGUCCUGCCCCGACCAAUCCCUUCUUCCUUACCGGCGAAGCCUCUGCCCCCGGCCGAAGUGCCUCGCAAACCACCACCACCCACCAGUCGUAGCUGCUCCGACUCCUAAGCAAACUAGAGAUUUCACAACGAAGCAAACCCUUCUUCCUUGUUGAAGCAAAGCCCUCGACCUUGAGCGCCCCACUUGCAACCCAACGAUCAUUGCGCGUUCUUAGGCUAUCCAGCUCGAGCACCCCUCUGUCGUCAUGUGCUAUCAUCAUGCUAUCGAGCCCUUCACCUAGAGUGCCCCACUUGCGACCUAGCAACCAUCGUGCGCUCUCAGGCGCCCGCCCUGAGUGCCCCUCUACUACCGCAUGCCAUCGAGCCCUUUGCCCCGAGUGCCUCACCUACAUCCACCAUUACCCAGCAGCCAUCAUGCAACAACUUCCAUGGUGUCCGACGAAAAAUCUUCCUCAACGGCAUCCAACAAAGCUUCUUCCUCAACGCAUCGCAAGGUAAAUUACUAACUUUGUUUAGAUUUUAUACCACUUUAAAACACCUAUUUUGAUUAUUAACAUACUAUUAACCUUUUUUAUUUUUUAUUUUGUAGUUUUUUAAUCUGGGUUUUUUUACUACUUAUUAAAUUGUUAACCUAUUUUUUUUUUUUUAGUUUUUCAAAUCUAACUUACUAAAUUGUUAACAUAUUGUAUCUUUUUAUUUUUGUUAAUCUGGUUUUUGUACUUCUUCUGAUUAAAUUGUUAAAAUAUAACAAUUUGAGUAAACUGCAAAAUGUGUGUGUGUAUAUAUAUAUAUAUACACACGUGUCCUCAUUAUGUCCGUAUCAUGUUUUUUUUUUAAAUGACAUGUCGCCAUGUCCAUGUGUGUGCUUCGUAUGUACAGAUUUCUCACUCUUUUCCUAUUGUAUUAUUUUAUGUUCUAUUCACCAAAGUCAACUAGUUUUGUUCCACAGAUCUACAACUGAAAGAAAAAUCAUAUUGAUUUUCAUUAUGAAACAAAUGGCCUUGAUAUAUUUUUUGGGUCAAGCCUUCUGUUUUUCUUUUUUAAAGGAACGAAACCAAAUAAUUUAAGUCUCAAAACCUUGUCCUCGAGUUACAAAAGUGAGUUGGUUUUGCACCUAUCAAUAUCUUUCGGUGCUAUUUAGACUAGUUCACAGAGAGAUCAAGCUAGAGCAUAAAUUAUUGAAAGGCGUACCAUUCUCCUAUCAUAAUAAUGUCUAAGAUUGAAAAUGGCCCAUAGAGAAUAUUCAGCAGCUUUAUACUUGGUACAGGAAUGUUCCACUGUUACAGAUGUAAAUAUUUCAUUUGGUAGAUCUGGAUGCAAACUCUUUUCCUUGUUUGUGGGUGAAUCAUGAUGGCCAAUCGAACAUCUGAACAUACAUUCAAUUUCAACAGCCUUGAUGUUGGUAUCAUAUACAAUUGGAAGAAAGGUAGUGCUUUUCUGGGUCAAAGAAAAUAUUAUCGCAACUUCCCGAAAAAGUUGUUUGUGAAAAGGCACUUCACUGCACCGGGGAGAAGAAAAAAAAAAAGCAGAGACAUACACUAGCUCCUGAGUUUGAAAUCCAACUGCAAUAAUGCAUUUAGUCAAACAUUUGGAGGGUGAUCUGCAACCACAGAUAAUUGUUGAGAACCAAACAUUGUUAAACCAAAUAUAGACCAUUCAAGGUCUGACUCUCUUCUUUUUUUAAUCCUUCUCUGCCUCGUUUGAGAUUUAUCUUAAUAAACCAUGUAGGUCAUCCUGCCGACCAUAUAACCAAAAUAAAUGAUAAAUGGUUGCCAAAAUGAGCAUUUCGUGCCCUCAUGAACAAACGGUGAAAUGCUUAGACACUAAAUCAAAGAAGCUAAGAAACAGCAAAGAGAAUUCACGGCAAGGAGCAUUUGAGCUUAAAAACACAUUAUAUCUUUACACGAUUCACGUCAAACAUAAUUAUCAAAACACGAAGAUGCAUAAUUAAGAAGCAAAACAGAACCAAAUAAGAAUAACAUCAACAGCCACUUGCGGAAGAUAAUAAAACAACCCAUUGGUUCUGAAUUGAAUGCAGACAUCUUUCCAAUAAGGAGAUUAAUCCAUCGACAAAUCAGCAGAAGCAAAAUAACUAAUCUGAUCGUGAAGCAAAUAAAUUACUGCAAAUUCCUGCACAACAACGCAUGCAUGGGCCACUACAACACAUUAAUAAGUUUUCUUCAGAAAUCGCUUUAAUACUGCAUGUCUUGAGAGGGAAAACAUAGUAAAUAGCAAACAGGGCAAUCACAAUAUACUAAACCGUCCAAUUGUGAAACGGCGAAGAGGGAACAGAUGGAGAGAGGAGUACCAUCGAAGGGGAGAUGAUACUUGUCGGUCGUCGAUUGCCAUCAUCAGCCAUUGUCGAUUGCCGAUCACCAAUCAUCAACCACUGUCGAUUACAUUUCUUAGGAGAGAGUCGCUCGACUUCGAAUGUUUCCUCGUGAGAUUUGAUUCCUGGGUUAGGGUUUU